GGGAAUAGCUCAGUUGGUAGAGCGACGGUCUCCAAAACCGUAGGCCGAGAGUUCGAAACUUUCUUCC
rnacentral:tRNA from 1 species